AACGAACGCUGGCGGCAGGCUUAACACAUGCAAGUCGAACGAGAUCUUCGGAUCUAGUGGCAGACGGGUGAGUAACACGUGGGAACAUCCCUUUCAGUUCGGAAUAACGUUGGGAAACUAACGCUAAUACCGGAUACGUCCUUCGGGAGAAAGCUGUAUCGCUGAAAGAUUGGCCCGAGUCUGAUUAGCUAGUUGGUGAGGUAAUGGCUCACCAAGGCUACGAUCAGUAGCUGAUCUGAGAGGAUGAUCAGCCACAUUGGGACUGAGACACGGCCCAAACUCCUACGGGAGGCAGCAGUGGGGAAUAUUGGACAAUGGGCGCAAGCCUGAUCCAGCCAUGCCGCGUGAGUGAUGACGGCCUUCGGGUUGUAAAGCUCUUUUGUCCGGGAAGAUAAUGACUGUACCGGAAGAAUAAGCCCCGGCAAACUUCGUGCCAGCAGCCGCCGUAA
rnacentral:rRNA from 1 species